UACGAAGGGGGCGAGCGUUGUUCGGAUUUACUGGGCGUAAAGGGCGCGUAGGCGGCGCCGCAAGUCGAGUGUGAAAGCCCCGGGCUCAACCUGGGAGGUGCGCUCGCGACUGCGGUGCUGGAGUUCGGGAGAGGAGCGUGGAAUUCCCAGUGUAGAGGUGAAAUUCGUAGAUAUUUGGGAAGAACACCGGUGGCGAAGGCGACAUCCGUGGACCGGUAUUGACGCUGAGGCGCGAAAGCCAGGGGAGCAAAGCGGG
rnacentral:rRNA from 1 species